GACGAACGCUGGCGGCGUGCUUAACACAUGCAAGUCGAACGGUGAAGCGCCUUCCUUUUUGGUGGGUGUGGAUGAGUGGCGAACGGGUGAGUAACACGUGAGUAACCUGCCCCCUUCUUCUGGAUAACCGCAUGAAAGUGUGGCUAAUACGGGAUAUUCUGGGUCUGUCGCAUGAUGGGUCUGGGAAAGAUAUUGUUUCGGUGGGGGAUGGGCUCGCGGCCUAUCAGCUUGUUGGUGGGGUGAUGGCCUACCAAGGCGGUGACGGGUAGCCGGCCUGAGAGGGUGGACGGUCACACUGGGACUGAGACACGGCCCAGACCCCUACGGGAGGCAGCAGGGGGGAAUAUUGCACAAUGGGCGCAAGCCUGAUGCAGCGACGCCGCGUGAGGGAUGGAGGCCUUCGGGUUGUGAACCUCUUUCGCCCGUGAAGCAGGCCUGCCUCGUUUGUGGGUGGGUUGACGGUAGCUGGAUAAGAAGCGCCGGCUAACUACGUG
rnacentral:rRNA from 1 species